UACGGGAGUGGCAAGCGUUAUCCGGAAUUAUUGGGCGUAAAGCGUCCGCAGGCGGUCUUUUAAGUCUGCUGUUAAAGCGUGGAGCUUAACUCCAUUUCGGCAGUGGAAACUGGAAGACUAGAGUGUGGUAGGGGCAGAGGGAAUUCCCGGUGUAGCGGUGAAAUGCGUAGAUAUCGGGAAGAACACCAGUGGCGAAGGCGCUCUGCUGGGCCAUAACUGACGCUCAUGGACGAAAGCCAGGGGAGCGAAAGGGAUUAGAUACCCCUGUAGUCCUGGCCGUAAACGAUGAACACUAGGUGUCGGGGGAAUCGACCCCCUCGGUGUCGUAGCCAACGCGUUAAGUGUUCCGCCUGGGGAGUACGCACGCAAGUGUGAAACUCAAAGGAAUUGACGGGGGCCCGCACAAGCGGUGGAGUAUGUGGUUUAAUUCGAUGCAACGCGAAGAACCUUACCAGGGUUUGACAUCCUGCGAAUCCCUUGAAAACGAGGGAGUGCCUUCGGGAGCGCAGUGACAGGUGGUGCAUGGCUGUCGUCAGCUCGUGUCGUGAGAUGUUGGGUUAAGUCCCGCAACGAGCGCAACCCACGUCGUUAGUUGCCAGCAUUCAGUUGGGCACUCUAGCGAGACCGCCGGUGAUAAACCGGAGGAAGGUGUGGAUGACGUCAAGUCAUCAUGCCCCUUACAUCCUGGGCUACACACGUACUACAAUGCUACGGACAAAGGGCAGCAAACUCGCGAGAGCUAGCAAAUCCCAUAAACCGUGGCUCAGUUCAGAUCGUAGGCUGCAACUCGCCUACGUGAAGGAGGAAUCGCUAGUAAUCGCAGGUCAGCAUACUGCGGUGAAUACGUUCCCGGGCCU
rnacentral:rRNA from 1 species